rnacentral:rRNA from 1 species
CCCUUGGAUGUUCUGGGCCGCACGCGUGCUACACUGAGUGGAUCAGCGGGUCAGGUUGCGCGAAAGUGUUUCCUAAUCUUUAAAUCCGCUCGUGAUGGGGAUUGACGGUUGCAAUUUUCUGUCAUGAACGAGGAAUACCUUGUAAGCGCGGGUCAUCAUCCCGCGCUGAAUACGUCCCUGCCCUUUGUACACACCGCCCGUCGCUCCUACCGAUUGAGUGGUCCGGUGAGGCUUUGGGAUCUGAGCGGAAAGAGCGUUUCGCUGUUUCUGCUCGGAAAACUCAGUCGAACCUUAUCAUUUAGAGGAAGGAGAAGUCGUAACA